rnacentral:lncRNA from 1 species
UAGGCUAACAUAUCUAAGAUUCUAAGUUAUUUGUUAUGAUUCCAAUGGGCAAUUUGGGACCCAUGAAACCACUUAAUAUGGUGUCAUAAACGAGCUCUUAGAACUAGAUAAUAUUUUCAUAUACAUACUUUUGAUACUUUAAUUUCUAAAUCCCGAAUCUCACCACUUCCUAAAUAUCAAGAAACCUUGCCAAUAAAUCCUUAUUCUCUAACAACUCGCCACUCAUGGAUAAUCGGAAAGCAUAUGCAAUUUUGUUGAGGAUGAUGAUGCUAUGAAAAGA